rnacentral:rRNA from 1 species
GAUGAACGCUGGCGGCGUGUCUAAUACAUGCAAGUCGAGCGAACGGACGAGAAGCUUGCUUCUCUGAUGUUAGCGGCGGACGGGUGAGUAACACGUGGAUAACCUACCUAUAAGACUGGGAUAACUUCGGGAAACCGGAGCUAAUACCGGAUAAUAUUUUGAACCGCAUGGUUCAAAAGUGAAAGACGGUCUUGCUGUCACUUAUAGAUGGAUCCGCGCUGCAUUAGCUAGUUGGUAAGGUAACGGCUUACCAAGGCAACGAUGCAUAGCCGACCUGAGAGGGUGAUCGGCCACACUGGAACUGAGACACGGUCCAGACUCCUACGGGAGGCAGCAGUAGGGAAUCUUCCGCAAUGGGCGAAAGCCUGACGGAGCAACGCCGCGUGAGUGAUGAAGGUCUUCGGAUCGUAAAACUCUGUUAUUAGGGAAGAACAUAUGUGUAAGUAACUGUGCACAUCUUGACGGUACCUAAUCAGAAAGCCACGGCUAACUACGUG